rnacentral:rRNA from 1 species
GAGUUUGAUCAUGGCUCAGAUUGAACGCUGGCGGCAUGCCUUACACAUGCAAGUCGAACGGCAGCACGGGAGCUUGCUCCUGGGUGGCGAGUGGCGAACGGGUGAGUAAUGCAUCGGAGCGUAUCCUGGAGUGGGGGAUAACGUAGCGAAAGUUACGCUAAUACCGCAUAUUCUGUGAGCAGGAAAGCGGGGGACCUUCGGGCCUCGCGCUCUUGGAGCGGCCGAUGUCGGAUUAGCUAGUUGGUGAGGUAAAGGACUCACCAAGGCGACGAUCCGUAGCAGGUCUGAGAGGAUGAUCUGCCACACUGGAACUGAGACACGGUCCAGACUCCUACGGGAGGCAGCAGUGGGGAAUUUUGGACAAUGGGGGCAACCCUGAUCCAGCCAUGCCGCGUGAGUGAAGAAGGCCUCGGUUGUAAG